rnacentral:tRNA from 3 species
GGACCCGUAGUUAAACGGAUAUAACAAAUCCCUCCUAAGGAUUAGUUCUAGGUUCGAUUCCUAGCGGGUUCGCCA